GGGGAAUUUUCCGCAAUGGGCGAAAGCCUGACGGAGCAAUACCGCGUGAGGGAGGAAGGCUCUUGGGUUGUAAACCUCUUUUCUCAGGGAAUAAGAACUGAAGGUACCUGAGGAAUCAGCAUCGGCUAACUCCGUGCCAGCAGCCGCGGUAAUANCGGAGGAUGCAAGCGUUAUCCGGAAUGAUUGGGCGUAAAGCGUCCGCAGGUGGUUUAUCAAGUCUGCUGUCAAAGAGUUUGGCUCAACCAAAUAAAGGCAGUGGAAACUGACAGACUGGAGUGCGGUAAGGGCAGAGGGAAUUCCUGGUGUAGCGGUGAAAUGCGUAGAGAUCAGGAAGAACACCGGUGGCGAAAGCGCUCUGCUGGGCCGUAACUGACACUGAGGGACGAAAGCUAGGGGAGCGAAUGGGAUUAGAUACCCCAGUAGUC
rnacentral:rRNA from 1 species